rnacentral:tRNA from 1 species
GCGGUUGUGGCGGAAUGGCAGACGCGCUAGGUUGAGGGCCUAGUGGGAGUUAAAUCCCGUGGAAGUUCGAGUCUUCUCAACCGCACCA